rnacentral:rRNA from 1 species
GACGAACGCUGGCGGCGUGCUUAACACAUGCAAGUCGAGCGGAAAGGCCCUUUCGGGGGUACUCGAGCGGCGAACGGGUGAGUAACACGUGAGUAAUCUGCCCUUAACUUGGGGAUAACUACCGGAAACGGUGGCUAAUACCCGAUAUGACCAAUCACUGCCUGGUGUGUUGGUGGAAAGUUUCUUCGGUGGAGGAUGUGCUCGCGGCCUAUCAGCUUGUUGGUGGGGUAAUGGCCUACCAAGGCUUCGACGGGUAGCCGGCCUGAGAGGGUGACCGGCCACACUGGGACUGAGACACGGCCCAGACUCCUACGGGAGGCAGCAGUGGGGAAUAUUGGACAAUGGGCGAAAGCCUGAUCCAGCAACGCCGCGUGAGGGAUGACGGCCUUCGGGUUGUAAACCUCUUUCAGCGGGGACAAAGCGCCGGUAAUGGUGGUGACGGUACCCGCAGAAGAAGCACCGGCCAACUACGUGCCAGCAGCCGCAGUAA